UGAACUGCGAAUGGCUCAUUAAAUCAGUUAUCGUUUAUUUGAUAGUACCUUACUACAUGGAUACCUGUGGUAAUUCUAGAGCUAAUACAUGCUAAAAACCCCGACUUCAGGAAGGGGUGUAUUUAUUAGAUAAAAAACCAACGCCCUUCGGGGCUCCUUGGUGAAUCAUAAUAACUUAACGAAUCGCAUGGCCUUGCGCCGGCGAUGGUUCAUUCAAAUUUCUGCCCUAUCAACUUUCGAUGGUAGGAUAGUGGCCUACCAUGGUGGCAACGGGUAACGGGGAAUUAGGGUUCGAUUCCGGAGAGGGAGCCUGAGAAACGGCUACCACAUCCAAGGAAGGCAGCAGGCGCGCAAAUUACCCAAUCCCGAUACGGGGAGGUAGUGACAAUAAAUACUGAUACGGGGCUCUUUUGGGUCUCGUAAUUGGAAUGAGAACAAUUUAAAUCCCUUAACGAGGAACAAUUGGAGGGCAAGUCUGGUGCCAGCAGCCGCGGUAAUUCCAGCUCCAAUAGCGUAUAUUAAAGUUGUUGCAGUUAAAAAGCUCGUAGUUGAACCUUGGCUCUGGCUGGCCGGUCCGCCUCACCGCGAGUACUGGUCCGGCUGGAGCUUUCCUUCUGGGGAACCUCAUGGCCUUCACUGGCUGUGG
rnacentral:rRNA from 1 species